rnacentral:tRNA from 1 species
GUAACCGGGAGAUGUUUUCUAAUCUCCUCUUAUAACCCCCAAAAUCAGAGAGACUGAAAAUCUCUGCGUCGGCGGUUCGAUUCCGUCCCUCGCCA